rnacentral:rRNA from 1 species
UACGGAGGGUGCAAGCGUUAAUCGGAAUUACUGGGCGUAAAGCGCGCGUAGGCGGCCAUUUAAGCUAGAUGUGAAAUCCCCGGGCUUAACCUGGGAAUUGCAUUUAGAACUGGAUGGCUAGAGUAUGGAAGAGGAGUGUGGAAUUUCAGGUGUAGCGGUGAAAUGCGUAGAGAUCUGAAGGAACAUCAGUGGCGAAGGCGACACUCUGGUCCAAUACUGACGCUGAGGUGCGAAAGCGUGGGGAUCAAACAGGAUUAGAAACCCGCGUAGUCC